CCUGUAGUCAGACACCAUCGUUUGUUGACAUGAACGUCACCACCACCGAAAACACUGAUACGGUACUUGCCGUAGUUCACCAUGGCUGGUUCGAAGGAUUACGCUGUUUUAGAUUUACAGGAUAAAUCAGAUUCUCUCAGUGUGGACCUUCAGUUUCAAGAUUUUGGAGAUACAAGGACCCAGUCAAGUGCUGGUGGUCAGCAUGAGCAAACAAUAACUUUCUCAGAUUUCCCUGAUACACCAGAUGAGUAACUUGAACAAGAGAAGGUUGGUCCCAAGAGUAAAAGGAUUAAGUUUGAUGCUGCUGACAUUUCUUCAUUGCCUUUAGCUACUGAGAGAGUUCAAGUGACACCAGUUCUUCCUGAAGGUGUGUUUGGGGAUCCAGAAUUUAAACAGGUUGCAGUUUUGGAAGUCAAGGACAAGAAAUCUACAUCAGUUGCUAUCAAAGAAUUGUCACUUAAGUUCCCUGUCCCGUCUCUUUGUCACUUGAAGAGAGUUCGUAAAUUAAUGAAAAGGGAAGAUAAUUUCCCAAAGGAUUCUGUUAGUGUUGGUGUUUCCUUGAAAGAGGCUUUACUUGUAUAUUUGACAUACUUAGAGGAUUUUGACAUUCCAAAUUUAAUGGAAACUGGAGAUGAUAAUUUGGCUGCUCUGAGUGAUACUGAGUCUAGGAAGGUAAUAUUCAAGCUUAAUGAGAAAGGGAUCAAUUUGGCACUGUUCACUGACAAAGUUUUUGUUUCUAAAGUUGCUAAAUAUUCACCAAAAAUACGUGAUAUGUAUGAUAAAGUUUCUCCCUUUUGGCCUUGUUCUUUACAUG